rnacentral:rRNA from 1 species
GGAAUUGACGGGACCGCACAAGCGGUGGAUGAUGUGGUUAAUUCGAUGCAACGCGAAAACCUUACCCACCUUUGACAUGUACGGAACCCUUUAGAGAUAGAGGGGUGCUCGAAAGAGAGCCGUAACACAGGUGCUGCAUGGCUGUCGUCAGCUCGUGUCGUGAGAUGUUGGGUUAAGUCCCGCAACGAGCGCAACCCUUGUCAUUAGUUGCCAUCAUUUGGUUGGGCACUCUAAUGAGACUGCCGGUGACAAACCGGAGGAAGGUGGGGAUGACGUCAAGUCCUCAUGGCCCUUAUGGGUAGGGCUUCACACGUCAUACAAUGGUCGGUACAGAGGGUUGCCAACCCGCGAGGGGGAGCUAAUCCCACAAAGCCGAUCGUAGUCCGGAUUGUUCUCUGCAACUCGAGAGCAUGAAGUCGGAAUCGCUAGUAAUCGCGGAUCAGCAUGUCGCGGUGAAUACGUUCCCGGGUCUU